rnacentral:rRNA from 1 species
CUCAACUUGAGAGUUUGAUCCUGGCUCAGAACGAACGCUGGCGGCAGGCUUAACACAUGCAAGUCGAGCGCCCCGCAAGGGGAGCGGCAGACGGGUGAGUAACACGUGGGAAUCUACCCAUCCCUACGGAACAACUCCGGGAAACUGGAGCUAAUACCGUAUACGCCCUUUGGGGGAAAGAUUUAUCGGGGAUGGAUGAGCCCGCGUUGGAUUAGCUAGUUGGUGGGGUAAAGGCCUACCAAGGC